rnacentral:rRNA from 1 species
UACGUAGGGCGCAAGCGUUGUCCGGAAUUAUUGGGCGUAAAGAGCUCGUAGGCGGCUUGUCACGUCGGGUGUGAAAGCCCGGGGCUUAACCCCGGGUCUGCAUUCGAUACGGGCAGGCUAGAGUGUGGUAGGGGAGAUCGGAAUUCCUGGUGUAGCGGUGAAACGCGCAGAUAUCAGGAGGAACACCGGUGGCGAAGGCGGAUCUCUGGGCCAUUACUGACGCUGAGGAGCGAAAGCGUGGGGAGCGAACAGG